GUAGAAGAUGAGGAAACUGUACUGAGAAUAGCUUAUGAACAGAGAAGAGGAUGUGUGCUCAUAGGUGAAGUAAAGCAGGAAAAAAUGAGAAGAGCAGCAGCUCCAGAGUGCAGUUUGCAGGUACCUGGGAUGCGCCUUUCAGUUGGACAUUGCUACACUUCUUUAUCAAGCUUUGAAAAAGGAAGUCUGAGAAAUAUUUCCAUCAGGAAAUUUUGAUGUGAUGAUAUCAGAAGGAUAAGGAAUGUACACAUGCUAGAAAAACCUGUCUAGGUAAAGUUGCAGCGCUUUGAGAAACCUUCAGUGUUCUUCAGUUCCUUUGAAACUUUCUGUGAAAAAAGAUCUGGAGUAAAAGCAUUCUUGAAACUCUGCUUCCCAAACCUAAGUGGACACGGCAGCCCUUUCCAUACCUGCUCAUCCUUCAUCAGCAGAGACACCAGACCAGGAUCCCAGCGGUAUCAUCCACGGUUGCUCUUCGGUGGCGAUCCUCAGAAAUUAGUGCAGUGCCAUUAACAUUAGAUGAGAACAAAGUAGCCGUAAACCAGACUCUGAGCUAGCAGCUGCAAGGACCCCCAGGGCUUUUCAGCAGCUCUUCUGCUAACAUUGCUGUGCUCUGUCUCUGCAGAGUAAUUCUUUAUAAAGACAGUUCUGAGGAUGAACCGG
rnacentral:lncRNA from 1 species